GGCCCGGAUCCACGCGGCCAAGACGCCCUAACCUGGUCAGGACCGGAAGGUAGCAGCCAUGCGGGAUGCUCUGGGCAGGCGUGGUCUCCGGGUCACC
rnacentral:SRP_RNA from 1 species